UACGGGGGGUGCGAGCGUUGUCCGGAAUCACUGGGCGUAAAGGGUGCGUAGGUGGCGUCGUAAGUCUGUGGUGAAAGCCCGGAGCUCAACUCCGGAACUGCCAUUGAAACUGUUUAGCUUGAGGACGAGAGAGGUGAGUGGAAUUCCCAGUGUAGAGGUGAAAUUCGUAGAUAUUGGGAAGAACACCGGUGGCGAAGGCGGCUCACUGGCUCGUUUCUGACGCUCAGGCGCGACAGCGUGGGGAUCAAACAGG
rnacentral:rRNA from 1 species